rnacentral:lncRNA from 1 species
UUUUUUUUUUUGUCUUUUGUCUUUUCUAGGGCUGCACCCAUGACAUACAGAGGUUCCCAGGCUCGGGGUUGUAUCGGAGCUGUAGCUGCCAGCCUACACCACAGCCACAGCAAUGCAGGAUCCGAGCUGUGUCUGUGACCUACACCAUAGCUCAUGGCAAUGCCGGAGCCUUAACCCACUGAGUGAGGCCUGGGAUCGAACUCACAACCUCACGGUUCCUAGUUGGAUUCAUUAACCACUGAACCACGACGGGAACUCCAAGUUUUAAUCAUUUUUGCAUGAGGGGCUCCACAUUUCAUCUUGCACUGAGCCCCACAAAUGAUAGAGUCGACCCUAGCCGUAGCACUUUUCUCUUUUAGAUAUGUAACCUACCAAUCUGUUAAAUGGGCUACAUUUAAAAAUCUUCAAUUCCCAUGUCAAAGACCACUUGAGAAAUACAUGCUGUGGUCAUAUGUACAUGGCCACAAAGAGGUGGCAGAAUAUGAGCUGCAAUGGUGAAAUACUUCAAGGAACUCUAAACAUCACCCUUGCGCCACCGCCCCCCCACCCCAGCACAGUUUUCUACUGAGUUUUUAGCUCAGUUCAUUCUGGCGUCACGAAGGUUAAUUAUGGGAAUCCAGCCCUAGGCAGCUAACCCAGCCCUCAGGCCUGGGACUCUAGACUUUGGGGCAUGAACUUGAGCUCUGUCCCAGUUUGGUUUAUUCCUGUGGCCUGUGUGACCCUGAGCAAGCGAUUCACGAAAGCUGUAACUUCAGAGCAAAAUAAUAACUACUUUGCUGCAUUAUUGUGAGCAUUAACGAGAUGCUGGGAAUGAAAUUACUUUAUGCAUUUUAAAGUUCUGUAUAAAAACCACAUUUAUGGUAGUCUCUGCAAUAUUCUCUUUCUCUUUUUUCCUUGAAUCAUCUGCUCGAGUUUAUACUUUGCUGCAAGUUCUUUCUCAGAAAAGAUUUAUCAAAUUGACAGAUGCUUUUCGUCCUUCUUUUGCGCCAAAGAUGACCCUCGUUUUUUAAAAAGGCAGGCCUCUUUUUCUGGAGUUUCUCAGUGACUUUACAAAAUACUCAAUGAAGCAGCGUUUAGCCCAAAUGGAGGACCAGGAUGAAACAGGAAUGUAUUAUAAAAAGAGCUUGGAAAAAUAGGCACUUAAAGAGAAGCAAAGUUUCUUUGCUUUGCCUACAUUAACCCUUGAGAAAGCAUAUAGGCUUCUAUUUUUAAUCAGGGUAUCUGGAUUUCUUUAAAGCUCCUUUAAAAGGUCAAGCUUAAGUAAAUGCCAGUAUAUUUAAAAUAACAGCGGGGAGGAGGUUGCUGCAACGAAAAAUGCUUUUAUUUAAUGAGAAGAUAGAAUGAGGAGUUCCCGUCGUGGCUCAGUGGAAAUGAAUCUGACUAGUAUCUAUGAGGACGUAGGUUCGAUUCCUGGCCUCACUCAGUGGGUUAAAGAUCCCGUGUUGCCGUGAACUGUGGCAUGGGGUCUCAGACUCGGCUCUGAUCCCACGUUGCUGUGGCUGUGGUGCAGGCUGGCAGCUGUAGCUCCAGUUCAACCCCGACCCUGGGAACUUCCAUAUGCUGCAGGUGCAGCCCUAAAAAGACAAAUAAAUACAUAAAUAAAUAAAUAAUAAAAAAAUUUUUUAAAUUUCUUUAAAAAGAUAGAAUGACUUUUGAUCAAGAUGCAAAGUGGUAUGGAAUCUUAACUCCUGCCUUCUUUCAUGUAUUCAUCACAGCAAUAGAGAAAACGUCAAUGCCACUUGUGAGAAAGGGCACAAUACACCACCUCAGAAUCUUAUCCCAAAGGACCUGAGAUCACAGAGCAAGGCUACACAGGGUCACCAAUUGAUAGGAAGCUGCAGAGUAUCCUCCUGAGGCUCCUUUUUUUUUUUUUCUUUUUAGGGCUGAACCCACUGCAUAUGGAGGUUCCCAGGCUAGGGGUCCAAUCAGAGCUAUAGCUGUCGGCCUACACCACAGCCACAGCAAUGCCAGAUCCGAGCCACAUCUGUGACCUACACCACAGCCCAUGGCAACGCCAAAUCCUUAACCCACUGAGUAAGGCCAGGGAGCAAACCCACAACCUCACAGUUCCUAGUUGAUUCCUUUCUGCUGCACCACAACGGGAACUCCACUCCUAAGGCUACUUUCAUUUUUUAAUAAAUUUUUUUAUUGUGGUAAAACAUAUACAUAUAACAUAAAAUUUGCCAUUUGAGCCAUUGGAAGUGCGCAUUUUAGUGGCAUUAAGCACAUUCUCAAUGAGGAGCCCCCGCUACCAUCAUCGACUUUCAACACCUUUCAUCUUCCUGCACUGAAAACCCAUUAGGCAACAACUCCUCCCCAUUCUUCCCCAGCUCCCAGCCACCAUUCUUCUACUUUCUGUCGUUAUGACUCUGCCUACUCUGGGUACCUCACAUCAGUGGAAUCAGACAGUAGUUGUCCUUUGGUGGCUGGCUGGUUUCACUUAGUGUGAUGUUUUCAAGAUGCAUCCAUGUUGAGUCAUAGGUCAGAAUUUCAUUACUUUUUAUGGACAAAUAAUAUUCCACUGUUGGGUACACCACAUGUGGGUUAUUCAUUCAUUCCUCAAUUGAUGGAUACUUGAUCAGC